CUUGAGAGUCAGAGGAGAAUUUCUUAGCAAUUAUUUCCCAGUGACAUGACACCCACCGCAGGAGACGGUGCGCGGCUGUCAGAAAACGACAGCUUACAUUCUUCGGCUUUACUAACCUUUGCUCUUUGAAUCUCCUUGUAAGAGAGAGGGAGCUGGCCUUGGGUGCAGCGCGAGGCCGGUUAGCUUUUAACUUUGUGUGUGGGUCGCAGGCACUGGCCGCGCGUGGAGCUCCUCUCCGGCUGGAGGCGCGUCCAGCCUCUCGCCAGCCCAGGGCGCGGGGUCUUGAGCCUCCCAGCCAGCUUCCUCCGAGUUAGCGGAGCAAGGCCUCUCUGGUUCUGCCCCUGCUCAGAAAUGAAUAAUCUCUGUACCAUUAAGGGAUGGGCUGAAAUCUUAUCUGCCGGGUGGGAACGGAGGGAUCCAGUUACAGGGAUUGCCUGGCCCUCGAAGAACUGGUAAUCCCAUUCGGCCUCUCGGCAGAGUGUGCUUUAGCGCCCACCUGAGGUCCUGUGACCCCAUUGCAGCCAGGUGUCUUUCCCUGCCUGAGAGAUACAGGCAAGCCUGGCUUGGCUAUUGGGUGGGGACCACCAGGGCCCAGAAUCGCCCAGAGAUCCCCGCUGGGCUCUGUGGGAUUGCUCUUCCCUUUCAAGUCACUUUCUGAUUGCUUCUGCAUUAAUGCAAUCUUCAUAAUGGGUACCAACAAACAGCUCUAGGAGGGAGUUUGCAAGGGAAGAAAAGGGCGCCCCCUAACGUUGUUUUCGUUGUUCUUCCCUUCAGCAAAAUGAGGGUUUAUGCAUUUCUCUAGCUGGGCAGAAAGAAAAGCAGCUACCUCAGCACGCUGCAUUCCUCUCUGAUGGGGGCAAGCAUGAGGCACCCAAUGAAAUGAGUUCACCCUGGGCCAAGCCAGGAGUGCAGGAGUGUUGGAGAGUCGUAGUCCCUGAAGAAGGCCAGUGGAUGUUAAGAUUCUUGAGUCAAAUUUGUCCCCAGUGUAGCCUUCCUCUUCUCACUUCUCCACAGACACUGCACUGGUUUCAGCCACCAGCAUUUCCUGAGUGUGAUGCACAGUGACCUGGCCUCCCUGCCCCCUUCUUGUCCUAUAGUCCCUUUUUGACGGAACAGCCAACAUCGAUUUAAAAAUUAAACUGGACUAUAGCACCCUUUGCUGAAAAGUCUCCAAAGGCUUCCCAGCCACCCUUAGGAGGGAAUACACAUGCAUCACCACGGCCUGAGGGGCCAAUCUGAGGUAGUCUUUCCCUGACUCUGAGACCUUCUCUCCUUCAACUUGCCUCCUCCUCCUACUUUGGGAUCAGCCACACGGGACUCAGACUUGCUUAGUGUGUGCCGGGCUCAGCACCUCUGGACUGGAUGGGCUUCUGCCUUGAGUGCUCCACCCAGAUUUGUAUGAGGUUGGCUCUGCUACAUGCAGAUGACUCAGAGGCUCUCCAAGCAGCCUUCUUAAGGUGACAAGCCAUCGUGAUAGCAGCCCUCCACACGCCUGUGGAAAUGACCCGUUCACUACCCUGGGAGAUGUAUGGCAUGUACCAGCACUGUCCACGGUUCCUUCUCUUGAAAUACUGCUGCUGAAAGUGUCCGGGUGAGAGGUCUCCAGCCCGUGCGAGCCAACCAUGCCCACAUUGUACUGCUCUGUGCCCCCGGGAGCUCCUGUCGGUCUAAGAUGGAAAAGAACAAUAUUCAUGAUGAUGGAAGCUUCAGGAAUGCUGUUUCCUCCAUGCUCAUUU